rnacentral:rRNA from 1 species
GACGAACGCUGGCGGCGUGCUUAACACAUGCAAGUCGAGCGGAGCGGCGGACGGGUGAGUAAUGCCUAGGAAUCUGCCUGGUAGUGGGGGAUAACGUCCGGAAACGGGCGCUAAUACCACAUACUAUCAGAUGAGCCUAGGGGGGAUUAGCUAGUUGGUGGGGUAAUGGCCUACCAAGGCGACGAUCCGUAACUGGUCUGAGAGGAUGAUCAGUCACACUGGAACGGAGACACGGCCCAGACUCCUACGGGAGGCAGCAGUGGGGAAUAUUGGACAAUGGGCGAAAGCCUGAUCGAGCCAUGCCGCGUGUGUGAAGAAGGUCUUCGGAUUGUAAAGCACUUUAAGUUGGGAGGCGUUACCAACAGAAUAAGCACCGGCUAACUUCGUGCCAGCAGCCGCGGUAAUAC